rnacentral:lncRNA from 1 species
UUGGGUCAUUGCUGCAGAACACAGGAGUUUGCAGCAUUGUACCAAAAAAGACACUAUGAAAUUCAGAUCUUGUCUUUUAUAAAGGGCACUGAACCUCCUGCACUAGCAGACGCUGAAGUAUGCUCUUGCCAUUUGGACUUUUUGCUCAUUGAUUUUUCUCUCAGGCCUUCUCACCGCAUUACUGUCCACAUCGGCUACACCAGCCUGACCUGCACUACACAGCCUUGUGCAACAAGCCAGCCGGAUCCCAUACGUCAGCUGGGCACUAUGCAGGAGGGUGCUGACGGAGAGCCACGCGGAGCAGAGGAUGCUCGCGGGUCAUGGGUGCUGUUCCACCUGCUAAUGAGGAAUGAAACUAGUAACAAAGUAACAAGAAGUCUGCAGUCACUUCAGACAACAAUGGAAUAAUGUGAGUUUAACUAUACCAUGGUGCAACUUCAGAGGAAAAGCUAUGCAGGAAUGAGUCAAAUAUCACUGACAUUUUAGCUUUGUUAAUAAUAAGUAAUACCAUAGCAAGUUACAUGUAAGAAAAAUGCACAUGUAAAAUAUAGAAAAUAAUUUUAUGGAGCUUCUGAGCUGCAGCGUAUCUUUAAAAAACCUUCUAGAAAGCCCUUUACCAUGUCACUAGGCACACCUUUAUUUAUUACUUUUUAAGAAAAGAGCACAGAAGAACUUAAUCCAAACUAAAUAUUUAAACAAACAGCAAUUAACUAACAAUGAUCAAUGCUAAACAGUCCUGGUCCCAGGCUGAACUGGGGCUUUAGAGCCCAUUUAUCUGGGCUAAAGCUGCCCAAAGGGAAAAGCAAGUUUACUGAGUAAACUUUACCUCAGUCACCUCACUAUAAAAGCAAUCUACAAAGAGAAACUACAUCAUGUAUUCGGAGAGAGAGAGGAAAAAAAAAGCAAGAACAUAGCAGUCCAUUGCAUGGAAGUUACGAUACCUUAUGGAGUAAUUGUCCCUAAAAUAAAAGCACAGAAAAAAUAAAGCUGUAAAGUAGA